UCCCCGAUGGCUCAGCAGGUAGAGCAUCUGCCUGAAAUGCAGGAGACUCAGGAGAUACGGGUUCAAUUCCUGGGUCAGGAA
rnacentral:tRNA from 1 species